CCGAGUUUACAACUCCCAAACCAUUGUGAACAUACCUUCAACGUUGCUUCGGCGGGUUGGCCCCGGUCUCCGGGGUCCCCGGCCCUACUCGGGCGCCCGCCGGAGGUAUCUAACUCUUGAACUUUUAUGGCCUCUCUGAGUCUUUGUACUUAAUAAGUCA
rnacentral:misc_RNA from 1 species